UAUCGGUAUAUUACUCGCGUCUAUUAGAAAAUGCAGAUCCAGUAGUUGAAAUUUUUUCCUCGCUUAUUCCAAAAAUUUACCGCACGGCUUCCGUAAACAACUUUACAGAAUUCCUAAGGAAAAACGAAUCCUUUUCUCCUAUUGGUGAACUCAUUUUUGAAGGUUCCACACUACUGAGGCAGGCGUCCUGCCAGAAGCUCUUCAGCGACAAAAACCGUAUUACUUAUCAGAUUCGAAAAUCUUCUCUUCAACUUACUGAUGUUAAAGAA